CUCCAUCUUAAAAAAAAAAAAAAGAAUUAUUAGCUUUAGUUUUGAUGCGUGGGAAAACUAAACUGCUCUAUGCCUACUCCAUCUUGGCCGGUACAAGAAGUCCCGCAACUUAAACAAAUUUAUAAAAGUUAAACUUGAGGGGUUGUUUUUCAUUUUUGUUUGUAGGUAAUCAGGUGUUCUUAAAUAUAAUUUUUUAUCUCCUUCCCUACCAAGAGGUUUUUAGAACUGUUUGCUUGGCAGGUGAAGAAUCUGCACGUUGUGGAUCUUUAUUACUGAAUGAGAAACUACCAGACUUUACCUUAGCUUUAUUUGUUUCCCAGUUCAACGGAAUAUAACCUUAGAACUCCCUAGAGGUGCUUUCUAAAAGGUUUUGAUUUCUCCAACUGUCAUAGUACUGCAUUUGUGAAUCCCAAAUUGGCUCCCACUGUUUAAACUUGAUGUAAGAUAUAGGAAGAUUUUUUUUGUUACCACCCUCCUUCUAUUCCAAACACUAUGUAUCUGAAGGAAACUUUAGUAGGAGAAGAUAUUUUGGAAAAAUUUUUGUCAUCAGCUUAAACGCGUGUCUGGUUUUUUGUUUGUUUGGUUGGUUGGUUUUUGUUUGUUUGCUUGUUUAAAUUCAGGGGGAGGCCAAGCGCAGGUGGCUCACGCCUGUAAUCCCAGCACUUUGGGUGGCCGACACAGGUGGACCGCUUCAGCUCAGGAAUUCCAGAGGAGCCUGGGCAACAUGGUGAAACCCCGUCUCUACGAAAAAUACAAAAAAUUAGACAGGUCUGGUG